CAGCCGCCGCGGUAAUACGUAGGUGGCAAGCGUUGUCCGGAAUUAUUGGGCGUAAAGGGCUCGCAGGCGGUUUCUUAAGUCUGAUGUGAAAGCCCCCGGCUCAACCGGGGAGGGUCAUUGGAAACUGGGAAACCUGAGUGCAGAAGAGGAGAGUGGAAUUCCACGUGUAGCGGUGAAAUGCGUAGAGAUGUGGAGGAACACCAGUGGCGAAGGCGACUCUCUGGUCUGUAACUGACGCUGAGGAGCGAAAGCGUGGGGAGCGAACAGGAUUAGAUACCCCCGUAGUCCCUGUCUCUUAUAC
rnacentral:rRNA from 1 species